GCUGGGUGUGGUGGUGCAUACCUGUAAUCCCAGUGGCUUGGGAGCUGAGACAAGAGGAUUGUGGGUUCAAAGCCAGCCUCAGCAACAGCAAGGUGCUAAGCGACUGAGACCCUGUCUCUG
rnacentral:sRNA from 1 species